AACGAACGCUGGCGGCAUGCCUAACACAUGCAAGUCGAACGAAACCGUCGGGCCUAGGGGCGCACGGGGGGGUGAGACGGGGGAACUAGCCCGUAGGUUCGGUAUCACUCCCCGUAAGGUGAGCUAAGACAGGUGAAUGUCAUCGGACCAAAGAGUUCUCGCCUUUGGAUGGGCCCGCGUAGGCUUAGUUAGUUGGUAGGGUAAAAGCCGGCCAAGGCGACGAUCCAUGGCUGGUCUGAGACGAUGCUCAGGCACACUGGGACUGAGACACGGCCCAGACUCCUACGGGAGGCUGCAGUAGGGAGUAUUGGGCGAUGGACGCAAGCCUGGUCCAGCCAUGCCGCGUGAGUGAUGAAGGGCUUAGGGUUGUAAAGCCCUUUGACCCGGGGUGAUAGUGACAGUACCGGGAAAAUAAGCUCCGGCUAACUCCGUG
rnacentral:rRNA from 1 species